GAUUUCUGGCGUGGCGUACUUGACCCGCUCCGGUUACGGUAGUGAGUGUCGAUGUGUGCCUGCCAUCCUUCUGAAGAACGGUUCUGCCCUUCACUGGGUUGGAAUCGCUAUUCGGAUCUUUUACUUUGAAAAAAUUAGAGUGUUUAAAGCAGGCUUGCGCUAUGAAUACAUUAGCAUGGAAUAAUAAUUUAGGACUUCGGUUCUAUUUUGUUGGUUUCUAGGACUGAAGUAAUGAUUGAUAGGGAUAGUUGGGGGUGCUAGUAUUCAGCGGCCAGAGGUGAAAUUCUCGGAUUCGCUGAAGACUAACUUAUGCGAAAGCAUU
rnacentral:rRNA from 1 species